UACAGAGGCCCCAAGCGUUGUUCGGAUUCACUGGGCGUAAAGGGUGCGUAGGUGGCGGGGUAAGUCGGAUGUGAAAUCUCCGAGCUCAACUCGGAAAUGGCAUUGGAAACUACCUUGCUCGAGGGUUGGAGGGGGGACUGGAAUACUUGGUGUAGCAGUGAAAUGCGUAGAUAUCAAGUGGAACACCAGUGGCGAAGGCGAGUCCCUGGACAACUCCUGACACUGAGGCACGAAAGCUAGGGGAGCAAACAGG
rnacentral:rRNA from 1 species